rnacentral:lncRNA from 1 species
AAGGACAAACAUGCCCUAAUAGUAAGAGUUCAUGAUACUAAAUUGAAAUUAAUCCUUAUAUUUUAUAUAUGGAAUAACAAGCAAUAACUAGGAGGACUACUAGCAGGUGAAUUAAUUUAGACGUGCAAACAAGUAGGUAAAUUAUGCUUAUCUUACGUAUAAACAGAAGAAAAGUAAACCAAAACUCACAACUUCAGGAGUACUUGGCAAUUAAGUGGCAUUACAGGACCGAGGUAUAUAAAUUAUAAUGGAGAUAGUGUGGGUAUGGAUUAGCAGUAGGAGGAGGGUGAUGGGCUAGCUACUAGUAGAGAAAGGUUGGUGGUACGAGAGGGUUGGCCACCUAUUUUACUUAAUGUUCUUGUUUAUGCUAUGAAAUUAGUUCAAAACUCAAAAUUUUCUUAAUAAAUUACACAAAAUCAAUUGUCUAAUUUGUUCAUUUCAUUAAAA